CUCUUCUUGUUUUUUGAUUUGAGGUACGGCCUGCCCACUGAUGUUAUUGAAGGGCCGCGGUAUUUUGACCGUGCAAAGGUAGCAUAAUCAUUAGUUCUUUAAUUGUGAACUGGUAUGAAUGGUUUGACGAGGCAUUAUCUGUCUUUAAUUUGGAUUUAUUGAACUUGUUGUUCGGGUAAAAAUACCUGGAUUUAUUUAUGGGACGAGAAGACCCUAUAGAAUUUUAUAUAAUGUGUUCUUUUUGGUUUGUUGUGUUUUGUGAAUUAUUUAUAUUUUGUUGGGGUGAUGGGAAGAUAGGUUUAACUCUUCUUUUUUAUUUUCACUCAUUUGUGUUUUUGUGAUCCUUUAUUGUUGAUUAUAAGAUCAAAUUACCUUAGGGAU
rnacentral:rRNA from 1 species